CCAACUUAAACUUUGGAGAUAAUCCCUAACAGGAUUAAAGUCCUCCACAAGCAGGCAGAGGCAAGCUAUUCAGAAAAACAAGGUCAUGCUGCAAUUUUUUUUUUUUUUUUUUGGUAAGCACAGGAAUCAACAAAGAGAUGUUAUAUAACUUCUAUUUAUAUCCUACUUGCUCACUAGCUGCAGGCAUACGAGAGGAGCCGAGAAGGGAAUUUAAUGAGCUCUCGGGGCUUGCUCACCUUCCAGAGCUGGUAGGAGCCAGCUUGUUUUUGAAGUGCGUCAGCAAAUGAAACUGGUGGUGGGUGGGUGGUUUGGGUAGGUGGACUGACUUGUUGCUAUGGUUUUCUUUAAUUCCUCCGUCUCUCAA
rnacentral:sRNA from 1 species